rnacentral:lncRNA from 1 species
CUUGCUUUUCUCACUUUCUUCAAAAGGCAACAUGAGGCUACUUGUUCAUUGCUUGGCUAAGCAGUCUUAAAAUGGUGGAGCCAGAAGAGAGGUUAGAGAAGGUAUGGUUCAAGUCCUUCUUUUACAGAUGGAGAAACAGGCCAGGCGAGGUGAAGGGGUGCCAAGAGACCCUGCAGUCACUUGAUCUGUGACAGAACCAAGCAUAGUGACUCAGAUAUUCCAACCCAGGUACACUUCGGUUAUUUGCUCAGCCGGGACCUGAUGGACUCAUUGAACCAAGUCUACCGGAAAAUUCCAACAGUGGACAACAGAACCCCUGCCUUUGGGGAGGAGAGGCUAGGUGGGUCCGUGGAGCAAGGACACUUAAAAGCCACAAGAGUCCACCAACCGAUGAAUAAAUAAACAUGCUCUCUGGCCAUACAAUGGGAUAUUAUUCAGUCGUGGAAGGGACUGAAGCACUGAUCCGUGCUGCAGCGUGGAUGAGCCAGGACACCUUUAUGAUCCUGAGAAGCUGCUACUGCUUGGUAAGGGGCUGAGAGUCCAGCCGAUCGCUCCCCAGGGAAGUCCCCUUCCUCGGAGGAACAAUGCUUUUCGAGAAACCCCACGGCUGACCAGAGCCUGUGCCACUGCCUGCUGCUGCAGAGCGAAGUGGGCUCCAAGGGGCGCUGUCACUCACGGCUCUGCUGCGUCAGCGCCCAGCGUGCUGGGCAGCAUUGGGUUCCCCAAAAACACAUGCUGAGCUCCUAACCCCUGGUACCUGUGAAUGUGACCUUAUAUGGAAAGAGGGUCUUUGCAGAUGUCAUCAAGUUCAGGAAGAGGUGGUAGGACACAGGCACACCCAGAGGGACAACCACCACAUGAGGACACAGGGAGAAGACGGCUGUCCACACGCCAACAAGAGGGUUCUCAGGAGGGACCAACCCUGCCAACACCUUGACCGUGGACGUCCAGCCUCCAGAGUGUGAGAAAUAAAUCUCUGUUGUUUAAUUCCCCCGGGGUGGUAUUUUCUUACAGCAGCCUGAGCAAACUCAUACACACUGUUUGCAUUGGUGCAUCUCCACUGGAUUAUAAACUCCUUGAGGACAGGAGCUGUAUCUUUUCAUCCUUGGAUCCCCAACACUUAGCAUGUGCCUGGCACAAUUAAAGGGCACAACGAUGACAAUGAUCAUAAAAGAAUCAUAAUAACUAUCAUUUAUUGAGCAUCUACUGUGUGCCCAGCCCUCUGCUCAGCACUCUAUACUUAAUCUUCACAGCUUAUAAUGUAGGUACUAAAAUAUGUCUUUGCUGAAAAUGAGGAAACUGAGGCACAGAGAGGUGAGGGAAUUUGCCCAAGACACACAGCUAGUAAGUGGUGCAUGUGGUGGGCUGAAUACAGACCCCCAAAGAUAUCCACAUCUUCAUCCCUGGACCUGUGAAUGUUACUAAAGAGACUCUGCACAUGUGAUUAAUGGAAGGAUCUUGUUGUGUUGGAUUAUCCGGAUGCACCCCAAACACAGUCACAAGUGUCCUUGUCAGAGGAAGGCAGUGGGGGACUUGACACAGAGAGGAGAGAAGAGGAGAUGGCUACGUGAUCACUGAGGCGAGAUGCUACGUGCUGGCUGUGAAGAUGGAGGAAGGGGCCACGAGCCAAGGAACGCAGGCAACCUCGAGCAGCUGGACGAAGCAAGGAACGGAUUCCCCCCCCCGAGGGCCUCUGGAGGGAGCUCAGCCCUGCCGACGCCUUGAUUUCAGCUCAGUGGUACCAAUUUCAGACUUCUCGCUUUUGGAACUGUGAGAGAGUAAAUGCGUGUUGUUUUAAGCCACUAAGUUUGUGGACGUUUGUUGCCACAGCCACAGAAAACUCAUAUGGUAGAGACAGGAUUUAAACCCAGCAGUCUAUCUUCAGAACCUGCACUGUUGUUUGUUUUUCU